rnacentral:rRNA from 1 species
GUAGGUGGCAAGCGUGUCCGGAAUUAUUGGGCGUAAAGCGCGCGCAGGCGGUUCUUUAAGUCUGAUGUGAAAGCCCACGGGCUCAACCGUGGAGGGUCAUUGGAAACUGGAGAACUUGAGUACAGAAGAGGAAAGCGGAAUUCCACGUGUAGCGGUGAAAUGCGUAGAGAUGUGGAGGAACACCAGUGGCGAAGGCGGCCUUCUGGUCUGUAACUGACGCUGAGGCGCGAAAGCGUGGGGAGCAAACAGGAUUAGAUACCCUGGUAGUCCACGCCGUAAACGAUGAGUGCUAAGUGUUAGGGGGUUUCCGCCCCUUAGUGCUGCAGCUAACGCAUUAAGCACUCCGCCUGGGGAGUACGGCCGCAAAGGCUG